rnacentral:rRNA from 1 species
UUGAUCCUGGCUCAGGAUAAACGCUGGCGGCGUGCCUUAGGCAUGCAAGUCGAACGGGUCUGGCUUGCCAGACCAGUGGCGGAAGGGUGAGUAACGCGUGGGAACGUACCUAUUGGUGGAGUAUAGCCUUCCGAAAGGAGGGGUAAUACUGCAUAAGUUCGUAAGAAGAAAGGGCUUAACCGCCCGCCGAUAGAGCGGCUCGCGUCCUAUCAGUUUGUUGGUGGGGUAAUGGCCUACCAAGACAAUGACGGGUAGCUGGGCUGAGAGGUCGGCCAGCCACAAGGGAACUGAGACACGGUCCCUACAUCUACGGAUGGCAGCAACCGGGAAUCUUGGACAAUGGGGGAAACCCUGAUCCAGCGACGCCGCGUGGGGGAAGAAGGCCUUCGGGUUGUAAACUCCUUUUGCCAGUUAUAAUGACUUGGCGAAUAAGCACCUGCCAACUACGUGCCAGCAGCCGCGGUGAAACGUAGGGUGCAAGCGUUAUCCGGAUUUACUGGGCGUAAAGGGUUGCGUAGGCGGUAACUUAAGUCAAAACUCAAAUCUUCCAGCUCAACUGGAAAUCGGGUUUUGAAACUAAGCUGCUUGAGUCUUGGAGAGGUAGCCGGAACUUGCAGUGGAGCGGUGAAAUGCGUUGAUAUUGCAAGGAACACCGAUGGCGUAGGCAGGCUACUGGUCAAGUACUGACGCUGAUGCACGAAAGCUAGGGGAGCGAAAGGGAUUAGAGACCCCUGUAGUCCUAGCCGUAAACGAUGGACACUAGCUGAUUGCUUUUUAAAGUGAUUGGCGCAAGCUAACGCGUUAAGUGUCCCGCCUGGGGAGUACGGCCGCAAGGCUAAAACUCAAAGGAAUUGACGGGGACCUGCACAAGCGGUGGAGCAUGUGGUUUAAUUCGAAACAAAGCGAAAAACCUUACCAGGGUUUGACAUCCUAACUGCACGCCGUUGGAAACAAUGGUUUCUUCGAGAGUGUUAGGACAGGUGCUGCAUGGCUGUCGUCAGCUUGUACCGUGAGGCGCACCCUUAAGUGGGUCAACAAGCGCAACCCCCAUCGUGUGUUAAAUGUUCACACGAAACCGCCCGCUAAAAGCGUGGAGGAAGGCGGGGAUGACGUCAAGUCAGCACGGCCCUUAUGCCCUGGGCUACACACAUCCUACAAUGGGUAUGAACAACGAGUUUGCAACGUCGCAAGGCGAAGCUAAUCUAUAAAAGUACCCUCAGUUCGGAUUGAGGGCUGCAAUUUGCCCUCAUGAAGCUGAAAUCGCUAGUAAUCGCGGAUCAGCAGGCCGCGGUGAAUACGUUCUCAGGUCUUGUACACACCGCCCGUCAAGCCAACAAAGUCGGGUGUGCCCGAAGUAUCCCUCUGGGGUCCUAAGGCAAAACCGGCGAUGGGGACUAAG